UGCCUAGGCCCAAAAGGCUGCCAUAGAAACACUGCGACUCAUGGGCCCUGAUCCCCUCUGCUGGGCCUCAGGGAUAAAUUUGGUUACAGACACCA
rnacentral:snoRNA from 1 species